CAUGGGGCUUGCGAACACCCCGUGAGGCGUCAGCCCAAGUUUCGCAUCCUGAUCAACACCAAAGUGUGAGAGGAUGCG
rnacentral:ncRNA from 1 species